rnacentral:lncRNA from 1 species
AUGGUCAUCUGCUACUCCUGCACCUGUAUCUCUAACCUGCAGACUUCUUACUCCCAGCUUCUACCAGCCGGAGCCUCUGUCUGCAGGCAGCGGUGCAGCUCAGCGCGGUCAGUGACUACGCGGGGGCACUUGAUGGAGCAUUGGAUGGGGCUGCUUGCGGAGAAGAUGCAGCGUGGUGGAGUGGAACUCAUGGGCCGGACAUGAUCUGGCUUCCGUGGCGCGGUACGUUUAAUUACGGACGGGUAGGUAGAUUGCUGCAUCAUCCCAUUGGAAAGACAGCUCUGUGACCUAACAGCAAUCAUGACUUCUCAGGACAAGUUAGUGAAAUCAGGAGGAAUUUUGAAUGGAGACUGACAGCAAUCACCUCAUCUUAAGGCUCAGUAUUUUAUGAAUCAAUGUGUAUGUAGUAUUUGCCAAAUCAAAAGUCAAAGGAAGUAGUAAUAAUAGAGAAGGAGAAAACCCAAACAAUUUUUAGCACUUUUUUUUUCCAAGGAGGCACUCAUUCUGUUAGGUUAGCCUUUAUUACAUUUUAAAAACAACCUCCCCGACUGAUGUUGCAGGAAUCUUAUAUCAGAAAUAGUUACUUGAUAGAGGCGGGUUUCAGUGGACGUUAGUUCUCAGUGGAUCUUGUGCAUGGAAGAUGAAGCUUAUAAUAAGUGCACCAACUGAGAAAUGAACGGACUUGUUAGACACAGAGUACUUCCAGACGAGCUUUCAAUGAAUGUAUGGCUGCAUAUAAAUCUCCCAGUUUAGCAUGACAGAUACCUCCCGUCAUAACAGAAACUUCGUCAAACUCUGAACUGAACUGUUCUGACUGCAGUCCAAGUGAAGAAGAGGCUUGAGCACAAUUAAGCUAAUCAUCACAUUAAAUAUUUUGCAGCCAGUGAUCAGCCUUGAAUAGCACCUCACGGCCCUAAUGGCUGCGUUGACUUUAGUGGAAUGAUAGCCCGUAUUCACGUCGUGCUCCCCUCCUGAUGGGUUCCCAGAAGGAUUUACGAGUUUGACAAACUGAAAUAUCGUCCAUUCACUACUGAAGUCAGCUUCCCCUGAUGUUAAAAGCAUAUAACUCUGCAAGACA